GGUUAAGCGACUAAGCGUACACGGUGGAUGCCCUGGCAGUCAGAGGCGAUGAAGGACGUGCUAAUCUGCGAUAAGCGUCGGUAAGGUGAUAUGAACCGUUAUAACCGGCGAUUUCCGAAUGGGGAAACCCAGUGUGAUUCGUCACACUAUCAUUAACUGAAUCCAUAGGUUAAUGAGGCGAACCGGGGGAACUGAAACAUCUAAGUACCCCGAGGAAAAGAAAUCAACCGAGAUUCCCCCAGUAGCGGCGAGCGAACGGGGAGCAGCCCAGAGCCU
rnacentral:rRNA from 1 species